AAAAAUAUAGUAUAAUUAAAUACAUUUCAUUUACACUGAAAAUAUGCUUAAUUAAUUAGCUAUUUUUA
rnacentral:tRNA from 1 species